AGUCAAGGCAACCACGCUGUGUGUUGGUCUUAUCCGGGAGAGAACAUUUUAUCAACAUGCCAGGAGCUACAACUAAUGAGGUGCAGAACAGAGGAAGCCCAGUCAGCACUGGUACGCACCAUCCUUCCAAAUGCUGAUAGCAGUCACUUGCAGGAAGAGCAUACAAGGAACUAAUGAGAUGAAGGUGAGACUGCAAGCAAGCCUUAUGAACGCUUCCAUUUACAGUAACCAGAUGAUGGAACCUAUGUAACAACCUUCCUACAGGUCACUGAGACCAGGUAGGUGUCAGCCAGCUGAGAGACUUCAAAGAAUAAUGAAGAGGACAUCUGAAAUGAGCAAGCACACGACGGGUGCGGAGCAAAGACUUCAGAAAUCCCCCCAGGCCUUUCUUGGAUCACAUAGAAGAGCCCUGCCACACAGCAAUAAGUGUGGAGCCAGAUGUCUUCACACAGGGUUCCUACACUGGCAGCAAGAUUUGGGGGUUGAUCAGGACGCCCUGCUGCCACAAAAUCUUGCCUGGAUGAAAUCUUCAAAGAGAAAUGCUUCUCUGUGUAACAAAUAAUCACCACUGCUCCUACAGCGGAGUCCUGGGAAGAGCAGGGUGGCACUGGGGCUCCUGGGGUGACCUGGCUCUUUGGGGGCUCGGGAGAUGACUCAGGCACAAUUGCCGUACAGUUCUAACAGUCAGCUCCCUGCAAUUAACAGCAGCAGUUGUAGGUAUUUUAGCACAAAGCUUUCUUAACUCCGCGGUGUGUGCUGGGGUUGAAUGGAGCAAAGCCCUUGCUAUGCACCGAGUAGCCUCGCGCAUCCUGCAUCCCGGGCAGAACCCACACAGCACUGCCCUGCUGUUAGCUGUAAAUCCUGCUCUGGAGGUAUCCUGACAUGUCCCAGUUACUGAUAGAACAAAGUACUGAUGUGAACACUGGCACCUGGCAUUUACCAUAUUUGAGGGUAUAACUUUGUGAUAAACCACCUGAAUUUUAGAUUAUUUUCCAGAGGAAAUAGCGUAUCUAAUUUACCAGAAAAUAUGAUCCUCUUUCAUGUACUUUUGAUGGGAUUGCUCGUAUGCAAAUACCUCCUUAUCAUUUGUCCAUAAUCUGUCUAACUGUGGCAGAAUAAGGUUUUAUUAAUAAUGUUUGUGUGCCCAUGGCAUGGUGGCUGAGUCACCACUCGCAGUACGCAAAGUGGUAGAGCACGUCUAUUAAUAAACAUGAUAAACCCAUACCUUUGUGAGUAAAA
rnacentral:lncRNA from 1 species